rnacentral:lncRNA from 1 species
UAUAAUUUAAUUAAGAAUCCAUUAGAAUUUUUAGGACUUGUUGUUGCAAUUUUCCUUCUAUCUUCUACAACUAGGUGCCUGGUACAUUCUCAAGCCAAAUUCCAUGUAAUACGACAACAUUUUGCGAGUCUUUUUUUGCUUUGUAAGAAAUUUAAAAUGUAUAAUAUCAAUUUUUAUUGGUUCUAGCCUUGAUGAAUAA